rnacentral:rRNA from 1 species
CCAAUAGCGUAUAUUAAAGUUGUUGCAGUUAAAAAGCUCGUAGUUGAAUUUCGGGGUCAGUAGGUCGGUCGUGCCAGCGGUAUGAACUGGUCUCACUGAUUCCUCCCUCUUGUAGAACCGUGAUGCCAUUAAUUUGGUGUUGCGGGGAAACAGGACUGUUACUUUGAAAAAAUUAGAGUGUUUAAAGCAAGCUAACGCUUGAAUACAUUAGCAUGGAAUAAUGAAAUAGGACGUCUGUCUUAUUUUGUUGGUUUCUAGGAUGGACGUAAUGAUUAAUAGGGAUAGUUGGGGGCAUUAGUAUUCAAUUGUCAGAGGUGAAAUUCUUGGAUUUAUUGAAGACUAACUACUGCGAAAGCAUUUGCCAAGGAUGUUUUCAUUAAUCAAGAACGAAAGUUAGGGGAUCGAAGACGAUCAGAUACCGUCGUAGUCUUAACCAUAAACUAUGCCGACUAGGGAUCGGAUGAUGUUAAUUUUUUAAUGACUCAUUCGGCGCCUUACG